rnacentral:rRNA from 1 species
CAGUAGUGGGGAAUUUUGCGCAAUGGGCGAAACCCUGACGCAGCGACGCCGCGUGGAUGAUGAAGGCCUUUGGGUCGUAAAAUCCUGUCAGAUGGAAAGAAGUGCAUGGUGGCUAAUACCCGCUGUGUUUGACGGUACCAUCAAAGGAAGCACCGGCUAACUCCGUG